rnacentral:rRNA from 1 species
UACAGAGGGUGCAAGCGUUGUUCGGAAUCAUUGGGCGUAAAGCGCACGUAGGCGGCUUGUUAAGUCGGAUGUGAAAGCCCCAGGCUCAACCUGGGAAGUGCAUUCGAAACUGGCGAGCUUGAAUGUCGGAGAGGGCAGUGGAAUUCCGAGUGUAGAGGUGAAAUUCGUAGAUAUUCGGAGGAACACCAGUGGCGAAGGCGACUGCCUGGACGAACAUUGACGCUGAGGUGCGAAAGCGUGGGGAGCAAGCAGG